GGGCCGUUGGCGCAGUUGGCUAGCGCACCUCCAUGACGCGGAGGGGGUCACAGGUUCGAGUCCUGUACGGCCCACCA
rnacentral:tRNA from 1 species